UUCAAUUCUCCUUUGAUCUGCUAGACA
rnacentral:piRNA from 1 species